CGAGUCCUUCCUGCUGUCCUGCAGUACUCCAGGUCCUGCAGUGCCCCUUGGCUUUGCAGAAGGAGAAAGGACAGAUCUUUGGUGUGAGGUUUUAAUAGCUGUUGGGGCAAUAGAUGUUUUAGAGACUGUGAUUUUGUAUCUGGCAUCCUCUUCUGUGGUCUCAAACCAAGAAAUGGCAAAGCAUGGAGCUGGAAGGAUGAAGCGAAGACUUGUCACAGCGAAUCUGGAAAUGCGGAGGACACAAAGACUGUCCUCAUCUGGAAGACCUCCAGUGCAGGAAGAGCACCUACUGGGGGACAACCACAUACCAGGGACACCUCAGCACGACUCCUGUGACAACACCAGGAGGCAGCAGGGACCAGCAGCACUGAUCCACAGGUGAUGCUGCUAAGAGUACUUCAUACACAGAUAUGGUCUGCAUUCCUUUGGAAGAUGCCCUCCCACAGGCCCUCUCUCACAGAGCCACACUAAAAAUAGAGCUGAGUGCUUCCUGAUGGCACCGCUGUGUUUCUCUGGAAAGGCAGGUGUUGUUUCUCUGGAAAGGUAGGUGAAGCUGACAACGUUCAACACACUUAAAUUUGCCUGAUAAUGUUGUUAUUUAUCCAUAGAUAAUAGAAUGGCCUGGGUUGAAAAGGACCACAAUGAUCAUAGAGUUUCAACCCCCUGCUAUGUGCAGGGUCGCCAACCACCAGACCAGGCUGCCCAGAGCCACAUCCAGCCUGGGAAUCCAUAGAUUUCAAACCGAGUGAUGAUUUCACAAAAAGACAAGGCACAGUCCUAUUUUUCUUCCCUUACAUGUGAAAAACGUGCAUGUGGUUUGCAUAAUCAAAAUGCAUUUUCUCUCUGUCCACUGCAAGGUGAGGUGGAGGCUCCUCCAUCAUCCAGCUGCUCACUCAGCA
rnacentral:lncRNA from 1 species